rnacentral:lncRNA from 1 species
CCCUUACUCAGGCAACAUGGGGCUUGCUUCUAGCACAGAGGAAGCAGGUUUAGGGACGAAGUAACCAGGGUAGCUUAGCCACAGAGGAACGGACCAGCUGACCUCUUGACUUGACUUAUGAUGAAGGGGCCCUUCUUAAGUCACCUUAUACUUAGAGUCAAAUCCUGGACUAGAAUUCUUCCCAACCCCCUGGGGUCACUCAGGCUGGAAUGCAGUGGCGCGAUCAUAGCUCACCUCCAGCAGCAUCAUCCUCCUGGCAACCCUCUCUCCUCAGCCUCCCGAGUAGCUGGGACUACAGCCCUGUGGAACGAAGCCUGUAAACAGCCCAUUUUCACUCCUGAAGCAGUUGGUCCCCCACGAAAAGAUGAUUUCCUCCGAAGCAGAUGAAAAUCCCCUUUUCCUCCCCUGGCUCCUGCAGCCUGUGGUCAUGAAGGCAAAGGAAUCAGCCCUUCCUCUGCCACUUCCCAGCUGUGUGGUCCUGUGCAAAUGUCUUAGCUUCUCUGAGCCUCUGUUUCUUUUCUGUAGAGUGAAGAUAAUUCAUUAUUUGUGAGAUUAUUUGAGGAUUAAAUAAUACUGUAUGUGGAAGGGCUGAACACAGUGCCUGGCACAAAGUUAGGUGCAAUAAAAGAGAAUCCCCUUUUUCCAGGCUCCACCAAGCAUAGCACUGAAUUAAGAACUCUUCUGUGGAUUGAUCUCACAUGAUCCCACAUGCCCAUUACCUGUGUGUGUCCCUGUGUGCAUGUACAUGUACAUCGUACCUGUGGAUAUGUGCCUGCUAUGUUUGUGUGCACCUGAGUGUGGGUAUGUGUAAACAGACACAUGCAUAUGUCUGUGCACAUGAUUGUGUGUGUGCGUGUGUUUUCCCAGCACCAUUAGUAGGAAGCUGUAAUUAUGUUUUAUGGCAGCAGCAGCAGCAACAGCAGUGGCAGUGGCAGCUCUGUUCCCCCAGCCAUUAAGCUGCCUCCCUCCACUCAUCUGGGGGUGGGGAGCUGGAGCCACUGCCCGCCCUCCCCAUCCCUGCAUGCUGCAUGAGCACCCAGCCACCCCACUCCCUCACCAUAUGCCUGUCUUUUACUGUUCUUUGGUGCGUGGUGCUCAUCGAGUGGCUAAUUAGCUAAAUGAAUUAAUUGACAUCCAUACAUGUAAUUAGCAAAUGGUUAUAAGCAGCUAUUCUCCUUGGGAUGUCUAAAAUUCUAAGGGUCAGAUGCUGGGAGGGUUGCUUUAGUGAGUAAAUAAGAGAUAAGAGCUGCCAGGGUAAGUGCCUGGGAGGCUCUGUGAACUUGAUGGCCUAGCUGUGGGGGGAUGAGACCCAGGAAGGAGGGAGGAGGUGCUUACCAGCCUGAUGGGGGAAACUGACUCCAUGCACCAGGAAUCAGGAGCCUCAGCUUCUGGCUCCAUUUAUGCAACUUUCUCUGUGACCCUGAGUAAAUAAAUCCCUUCUCCUCUCUGGGUCACAGUCUCUGCUUCUGAUGGGGAUGGAUGGGACCAGCUCCUCUCAGGACUCUCCCUGCUCUGAUAUCCUUCCUUGCCUUAAGCCAAAGUUUCUAAUAAGAAACAGGGCUGUGUAGAGAUUGGAUGAAGUGCCCCUUUCUUUAUUCCAGGGUGCACCAUUACUAUGCUCUCCCACUUGUAGGUUUUGGUACCUGCUGUGCCCCUGCUCCUAAUGCCUGGUCUACCCUCUCUGCCUCUAAGAUCCUGUAGAGCAGUGCUGUCCAGUAGAAUGUUCUGAAUGACGGAAAUGUUCUAUGUCCCUGCGGUCCCAUGUGAUAGCCAUGAGCCACAUGUAGCUGUUGGGUCCUUGAAAUAUGACUAGCGCAACUGAGGGGCUGAAUUUUUAAUUUAUUUAUACUUAGUUCAUUUAAAUUUAAAUAGCCACAUGUGGCUAUUGGCUAUUGUAUUGGGCAGUGCAGCUGGAGCUCCUUCAAGAUCCAUUCAUUCAUUCAUUUACUAAUUCAUUCAUUCAUCCAACAAAUAUUUUUUUAGUAUCUGCUGUGGCCAGGCACUGGGGAGACUAUUGAGAAUAAGCAGGCAUGACCCUUGCCCUCAUGAAGCAUUUGUUAUGGGGAGGGAUAAGAGAGAGGAGAGAGAACGAGAACCAGACAAAAUAAUUGGAAAUUUAAUAAAAGCUAGGAAAGAAAAUGAUAAGGGGCUGAGAUGGAGAAUAGAAAUCCUGGGGCAGUAGAUGGGGUGGUCAGGAAAGGUGUCUCUGAGGAGGAGCCAUUUAAGCUGGGACCCCGGGGGUGAGAAGGAGCCCUCCGAGGAGAGUGUGUGUGUUUGUGUGUGGGGGUGCAGGGGCUGUUCUAGGCAGAGGGCUCAGCCGUGCUGAGGUGGAGGCAGGGGAGAACUGGGUGGGUCUGAGGAAAUCAGUGGGGUUGAAGUGUAAUGAGUGUGGGGCAAGGCCAGGAGACGAGGGGCAGGGGCCAGAUGAAAGACCAUGGGAAGGACUACGGAUUUUGUUGUAAGGGCAGCAGAGGUUGCUAAAGGGUUCUAGACAGGAACACCUCUUCAGAAGUUGACCUGGCGGCUUCCUAGGGCUUGGUUGGAGGAAGCCCUAAAUGAGGGUGGGUGAUGGUCAUCUAGGGAAGGGGAACUGGCCAGGGUGGUACAAGAUGCCACUGCAGGGGUCAGGCAUGGUGGCUCAGCACUUUGGGAGGCCGAGGUGGGCGGAUCACUUGACGUCAGGAGUUUGACCUGGCUUACAUGGUGAAACCCUGUCUCUACAAAAAAUAAAAAAAAAAAAAAAAAAAAAAAAAAGCUGGGCAUGGUGGCACACGCCUAUAAUCCCAGCUACUCCAGAGGCUGGGUUGCAGUGAGCUGAGAUUGUGCCACUGCACUCCAAUCUGGGUGACAGAGAACAAGACUCUGUCUCAAAAAAACAAAAAACAAAAACAAAAAACAAACAAAGGCCAGGCACGGUGGCUCACGCCUGUAAUCCCAGCACUUUGGGAGGCUGAGGAGGGCGGAUCAUCUGAGGUCAGGAGUUUGAGAUCAGCCUGGCCAAUGUGAUGAAAUCCUGUCUCUACUAAAAAUACAAAAAUUAGCCGGGCGUGGUGGUACACACCUGUAAUCCCAAUUACUCGGGAGGCUGAGGUGGGAGAAUCACUUAAACUAGGGAGGUGGAGGUUGCAGUGAGCCAAGAUCGUGCCACUGCUCUCCAGCCUGGGUGACAGAGCAAGACUCUGUCUCAAAAAAAAAAAAAAAAAAAGCCAAAAAACAAAAAACAGAAAAGCUUUGUUGGAUUUGUUUAAAAAAAAGAAAAAAAAGAUACCACAACACCUCCACCCGGAAGGUGUCCCUGGAUUCCCUGGGCUGGAUCAGGCUCCUCUCUGUGCUCCUGCCACCCCCAGGCCUGACUGUGUCAUGGCACUUUUGCCCCUAGCUGUCACCAUCUGUUAAGGUCAGAACCACCAGAUGUGGGCCUUCCCCGACGUGGCUAUGUCCAAUUCUGUGUCUCCCCCUUUCUC